rnacentral:rRNA from 1 species
GGCUUAUUGUAAACUUAUAGUAAGUUUAACCUGCCCAGUGAUUUAAAUUUAACGGCCGCAGUAUAUUGACUGUGCAAAGGUAGCAUAAUCAUUAGUCUUUUAAAAGGGGGCUGGAAUGAAUGGUUUGAUGAAAUGUCAGCUGUCUCAUUUAUUUUAUUGAAUUUAAUUUUUGAGUUAAAAAGCUCAAAUUUUUUUGGAAGACGAGAAGACCCUAUAGAGCUUUAUUGGAUUUAUUUUUUUCUAUUUUGGUUUAUUAUUUACGKAAAUUAUAAAUUUAAUUUUGUUGGGGUGAUAGUAAAUAAAUAUUUAACUUUUAUUAUUAAUUUAACAUUUGUUUAUGACUUAUUUGAUCCAUUAUUUAUGAUUAUUAGAUUAAGUUACCUUAGGGAUAACAGCGUAAUCUUUCCUUUGAGUUCUUAUUUUCGGAAAGGGUUGCGACCUCGAUGUUGGAUUAAGAUUAUAAUUGGGUGUAGCCGCUUGAUAUAUAGGUCUGUUCGACCUUUAAAUUCUUACAUGAUCUGAGUUCAGACCGG